GACAGAGGUGCCGAGCGUUAGGCGGAAUCACUGGGCUUAAAGCGUGUGUAGGCGGGCGGGCAAGUACCUUGUGAAAUCCCACGGCUCAACCGUGGAACUGCUGGGUAUACUGCCUGUCUUGAGCCAGCCAGGGGCAGUCGGAACAGACGGUGGAGCGGUGAAAUGCGUAGAUAUCGUCUGGAACGCCAAAGGUGAAAACAGACUGCUGGGGCUGUGCUGACGCUGAGACACGAAAGCCAGGGGAGCGAACGGG
rnacentral:rRNA from 2 species